rnacentral:rRNA from 1 species
GUUAAGCGACUAAGCGUACACGGUGGAUGCCCUGGCAGUCAGAGGCGAUGAAGGGCGUGCUAAUCUGCGAUAAGCGCCGGUAAGGUGAUAUGAACCGUUAUAACCGGCGAUACCCGAAUGGGGAAACCCAGUGUGAUUCGUCACACUAUCAUUAACUGAAUCCAUAGGUUAAUGAGGCGAACCGGGGGAACUGAAACAUCUAAGUACCCCGAGGAAAAGAAAUCAACCGAGAUUCCCCCAGUAGCGGCGAGCGAACGGGGAGGAGCCCAGAGCCUGAAUCAGCAUGUGUGUUAGUGGAAGCGUCUGGAAAGGCGCGCGAUACAGGGUGACAGCCCCGUACACAAAAGCGCAUGUGCUGUGAGCUCGAUGAGUAGGGCGGGACACGUGGUAUCCUGUCUGAAUAUGGGGGGACCAUCCUCCAAGGCUAAAUACUCCUGACUGACCGAUAGUGAACCAGUACCGUGAGGGAAAGGCGAAAAGAACCCCGGCGAGGGGAGUGAAAAAGAACCUGAAACCGUGUACGUACAAGCAGUGGGAGCACAGGUUUACCUGUGUGACUGCGUACCUUUUGUAUAAUGGGUCAGCGACUUAUAUUCUGUAGCAAGGUUAACCGUAUAGGGGAGCCGUAGGGAAACCGAGUCUUAACCGGGCGUUAAGUUGCAGGGUAUAGACCCGAAACCCGGUGAUCUAGCCAUGGGCAGGUUGAAGGUUGGGUAACACUAACUGGAGGACCGAACCGACUAAUGUUGAAAAAUUAGCGGAUGACCUGUGGCUGGGGGUGAAAGGCCAAUCAAACCGGGAGAUAGCUGGUUCUCCCCGAAAGCUAUUUAGGUAGCGCCUCGUGAAUUCAUCUCCGGGGGUAGAGCACUGUUUCGGCUAGGGGGCCAUCCCGGCUUACCAACCCGAUGCAAACUGCGAAUACCGGAGAAUGUUAUCACGGGAGACACACGGCGGGUGCUAACGUCCGUCGUGAAGAGGGAAACAACCCAGACCGCCAGCUAAGGUCCCAAAGUCAUGGUUAAGUGGGAAACGAUGUGGGAAGGCACAGACAGCCAGGAUGUUGGCUUAGAAGCAGCCAUCAUUUAAAGAAAGCGUAAUAGCUCACUGGUCGAGUCGGCCUGCGCGGAAGAUGUAACGGGGCUAAACCAUGCACCGAAGCUGCGGCAGCGACGUUUAUGCGUUGUUGGGUAGGGGAGCGUUCUGUAAGCCUGCGAAGGUGGCCUGUGAGGGUUGCUGGAGGUAUCAGAAGUGCGAAUGCUGACAUAAGUAACGAUAAAGCGGGUGAAAAGCCCGCUCGCCGGAAGACCAAGGGUUCCUGUCCAACGUUAAUCGGGGCAGGGUGAGUCGACCCCUAAGGCGAGGCCGAAAGGCGUAGUCGAUGGGAAACGGGUUAAUAUUCCCGUACUUGGUGUUACUGCGAAGGGGGGACGGAGAAGGCUAUGUUGGCCGGGCGACGGUUGUCCCGGUUUAAGCGUGUAGGCUGGUUUUCCAGGCAAAUCCGGAAAAUCAAGGCUGAGGCGUGACGACGAGGCACUACGGUGCUGAAGCAACAAAUGCCCUGCUUCCAGGAAAAGCCUCUAAGCAUCAGGUAACAUCAAAUCGUACCCCAAACCGACACAGGUGGUCAGGUA